rnacentral:tRNA from 1 species
AGAGGUUUAGGAUAACAAUAGACCAAGGGCCUUCAAAGCCCUAAGUGGGGGUGAAAAUCUCCCAGCCUCUG